rnacentral:rRNA from 1 species
GGGGGGGGGGGGGGGGGGGGGGGGGGGGGGGGGGGGGGGGGGGGGCUGCGGGGCUGGUGGCGCGCGGGUGCGUCACGCGUUGGGACCGGCGCUUAGGUGCGGCAUACCCCCCCGGAAGGGGUGCUACUACCGGGUAAUGUCUGCGGACCAAAGCUUUAUCGCCUUUGGAUGGGCCCGCGUUGGAUUAUCUAGUUGGUAGGGUAAAAGCCUACCAAGGCGACGAUCCAUAGCUGGUCUGAGAGGAUGAUCAGCCACACUGGGACUGAGACACGGCCCAGACUCCUACGGGAGGCAGCAGUGGGGAAUAUUGGACAACGGGCGAAAGCCUGAUCCAGCAAUGCCGCGUGAGUGAUGAAGGCCUUAGGGUUGUAAAGCUCUUUUACCCGGGAUGAUAAUGACAGUACCGGGAGAAUAAGCUCCGGCUAACUCCGUG